GCAAGUCGAACGAGGUACCCCUGAAGGAGUUUUCGGACAACUAAAGGGACUACCGAGUGGCGGACGGGUGAGUAACGCGUGAGUAACCUGCCUUGGAGUGGGGAAUAACAGCCGGAAACGACUGCUAAUACCGCAUAAUGCAUUUGAGCUGCAUGGCUCUGAAUGCCAAAGAUUUAUCGCUCUGAGAUGGACUCGCGUCUGAUUAGCUAGUUGGUGGGGUAAAGGCUCACCAAGGCGACGAUCAGUAGCCGGACUGAGAGGUUGAACGGCCACAUUGGGACUGAGACACGGCCCAGACUCCUACGGGAGGCAGCAGUGGGGAAUAUUGGGCAAUGGGCGCAAGCCUGACCCAGCAACGCCGCGUGAAGGAAGAAGGCUUUCGGGUUGUAAACUUCUUUUAAGAGGGACGAAACAAAUGACGGUACCUCUUGAAUAAGCCACGGCUAACUACGUGCCAGCAGCCGCGGUAAUACGUAGGUGGCAAGCGUUAUCCGGAUUUACUGGGUGUAAAGGGCGUGUAGGCGGGACUGCAAGUCAGAUGUGAAAACCAUGGGCUCAACCCAUGGCCUGCAUUUGAAACUGUGGUUCUUGAGUGAUGGAGAGGCAGGCGGAAUUCCCUGUGUAGCGGUGAAAUGCGUAGAUAUAGGGAGGAACACCAGUGGCGAAGGCGGCCUGCUGGACAUUAACUGACGCUGAGGCGCGAAAGCGUGGGUAGCAAACAGGAUUAGAUACCCUGGUAGUCCACGCCGUAAACGAUGGAUACUAGGUGUGGGGGGUCUGACCCCCUCCGUGCCGCAGUUAACACAAUAAGUAUCCCACCUGGGGAGUACGAUCGCAAGGUUGCAACUCAAUGAAUUGACGGAA
rnacentral:rRNA from 1 species